AGAUUGAACGCUGGCGGCAGGCCUAACACAUGCAAGUCGAGCGGUAGAGAGGUGCUUGCACCUCUUGAGAGCGGCGGACGGGUGAGUAAUGCCUAGGAAUCUGCCUAGUGGGUGGGGGAUAACGUUCGGAAACGGCGCUAAUACCGCAUACGUCCUACGGGAGAAAGGCGGGGGACCUUCGGGCCUCGCGCCAUUAGAUGAGCCUAGGUCGGAUUAGCUAGUUGGUGAGGUAAUGGCUCACCGAAGGCGACGAUCCGUAACUGGUCUGAGAGGAUGAUCAGUCACACUGGAACUGAGACGACCGGUCCAGACCUCCGUACGGGAGGCAGCAGGUGGGUAAUAGUUAGGAACAAGUGGGACGAAACGCUAGAUCCAGCCAUCGCCGCGUGUGUAGAAGGUAAGGUCGUUACGGUAUUAGG
rnacentral:rRNA from 1 species